rnacentral:ncRNA from 1 species
UAAAAGUUUUAUUCUUACUUAGUUAUUUACUAUUAUAAUGUUUUAUAUGUAAAGGUAUUUCUAAAUGAUAUGUAAGCAGUAUUUAGUAUUAUUCAUUAAGUAGCCUUAGAAUUGGUAAUUAUAAUGAUUUAAUGGUUAAAUGCGUGCCAGCUGCCGCGGUUAGACGUAGAUUAUUAGUAAAUAUUAUUGUUUAGAGUUAAUUGUGAGAUUUAACUUGAAAUUGUUUAAUUGUUGAUGAAAUUUGAUUUUAAAGUUAUGGUUUAUUAUGUAUUUAAUGAAGCUCUGAAAAUUGUUAUAAAAACUAGGAUUAGAUACCCUAUUAUAUUAAUUAUAAAUUAGAAGACUCGAGUAGUAUUAGUUAUGUUCUUGAAACUUAAAGAAUUUGGCGGUGUUUUAGUCCUUUUAGAGGAAUCUGUCCUGUAAUCGAUAAUACACGAUUUGUUGAACCUUUACUUGUUUAACUUAUAUACCGUCAUCAUAAGAUUAUUCUAUUUGAGGAAUAAUAAAUUUCGGAAUUUAUUAUUAUGAAGUAUGUUAGAUCAAGGUGUAGUUUAUGGAAAGGGUUGAGAUGGAUUACAAUAAUUAUAAUUAUAUGAAUAGUGUAGUAAGUGACUACUAGAAGGUGGAUUUAAUUGUAAAUUUUUGAUUGAUUAUUAAAUUGAUUAGGGCUCUAAUAUGUGCACAUAUCGCCCGUCGCUCUCAUUGUAUUAUGAGAUAAGUCGUAACAUAGUAGAUGUACUGGAAAGUGUAUCUAGAAAGUAAU